GAUGAACGCUCGCGGGAGGCCUAACACAUGCAAGCCGAGCGGUAUUGUUUCUUCGGAAAUGCGAGAGCGGCGUACGGGUGCGUAACACGUGUGCAACCUGCCUUUAUCUGGGGGAUAGCCUUUCGAAAGGAAGAUUAAUACUCCAUAAUAUAUUGAACGGCAUCGUUUAAUAUUGAAAGCUCCGGCGGAUAGAGAUGGGCACGCGCAAGAUUAGCUAGUUGGUGAGGUAACGGCUCACCAAGGCGAUGAUCUUUAGGGGGCCUGAGAGGGUGAUCCCCCACACUGGUACUGAGACACGGACCAGACUCCUACGGGAGGCAGCAGUGAGGAAUAUUGGUCAAUGGGUGCAAGCCUGAACCAGCCAUCCCGCGUGAAGGACGACUGCCCUAUGGGUUGUAAACCUCUUUUGUAUAGGGAUAAACCUACCCUCGUGAGGGUAGCUGAAGGUACUAUACGAAUAAGCACCGGCUAACUCCGUG
rnacentral:rRNA from 1 species